CUUUGAUACUUGUAUUAUUCCUCUAACAUUUUCUUGUCUCCUUUGAAAUAGAAAGAAGACAGCUGCCUGAAAAGCAUGAAACCUGAUAAUUGGUCGAUGCAUUCAUCUUCAGAAGAAAAAGCUGAUGACUUUUCAGAAAGAACAAUCGCUUCAUCACUUGCAUCUGAAGAGAAUGAAGGUAACUUUGAAGGCAGCGUUUCACCAGCAGAUGAAACAAUACAAGCAAGUACCAGUGGAAGUAAAUA
rnacentral:lncRNA from 1 species